rnacentral:piRNA from 1 species
AGUAGAUAGCCCAGGCUCUCCUCGCCAC